rnacentral:rRNA from 1 species
UACGUAGGGGGCAAGCGUUGUCCGGAAUUAUUGGGCGUAAAGAGCGUGUAGGCGGUCCGGUAAGUCAGCUGUGAAAGUCAAGGGCUCAACCCUUGAAAGCCGGUUGAUACUGUCGGGCUAGAGUCCGGAAGAGGCAAGUGGAAUUCCUGGUGUAGCGGUGGAAUGCGCAGAUAUCAGGAGGAACACCUAUAGCGAAGGCAGCUUGCUGGGACGUUACUGACGCUAAGGCGCGAAAGCGUGGGGAGCGAACAGG